UAAUGAAAUGGAAGAAUUUUUUUUUUUUAUUAAAGAACAAUCAUUUUAAUCAUUAAACAAUUUGUAAUAAUUUAUCUACACAAUUUCUUUUUCUUUUGCAGCAGCAAUUACUACACUCUCAACUGCUCUUCCCUCGACUACUCCUCCCUCGAAUACUGUUCCUUCAACUACUGUUCCCUCGACUACUGUUCCCUCAACUACUGUUCCUUUAACUAUUGUUUCCACAACUGCUCUUCCCUCGACUGCUCUUCCCUCGACUGCUGUUCCCUCACUGGUAACAAAUGGUUCAACUUCACCAGAGAAUGUGAUGGUCAUACGCCUCAAAGUUAUUUCAAUCAACGACUUGAUGGAAGCGAACAGUUCACAGAUACUUCUACAGCUCAAAGAGAUGCUGAUAGACGGAGGAAUUCCAAACAACUUCACACUUCGUUUGAGAUCCAUUAAAAAGAAUUCACCCUAGAAGGAGGGGGGUCACACAACUAUUAAAUGUUGUUGCUUAUUAAAGGCC